rnacentral:misc_RNA from 1 species
CCAAAAGAUAAUCUUUCAACACUGAAAGAUCUUUUCCUUUGUGCUGGCUUUGACCGUAUGUAAUUUUGGGACUUUAAAAUGGUUCGCAAGGGCCGGUCCCAAAAACAAUAUAUCAUCCUUAUGAAAUUUUUUCUGAACAAUUAAACAAAUGAUUUUAAUAAUCUGUUUAAAA